CGUACGCUCAUCUAGCUUCACUGCUUUUGCUGCUACAACUUGUCUUACUUCACCGACGAGUUGGAACACUUCCGUGGUCGCUACCCUUUGCUGUUACACACCUGCAGUUACUUACCUCGGGAUUAUGGGCAGGUAAUGCAGAGGAAAUUUCGAGAAGAUGGACACCAUAACGUCGCCGGUAUCUCCAAAGUGUCAGCGCGGAUCAUCAUUUGUUGUUGGUAAUAUGUUUGUGUUUGUGUUAGUUAACCCGUUGUCUGCCACGCCUUUGUUCUCCCCGCUCCUUAGCAUGGGCCGCGCCGAAAGGCGCCUGUUUGGCAAUGCACCAAGUUCCCCCUUGUCGAUGCGGUGAUGGAUUCUCCUGUCACCGUGUCAGCC